rnacentral:rRNA from 1 species
AUUGAACGCUGGCGGCAUGCCUUACACAUGCAAGUCGAACGGCAGCACGGGGGCAACCCUGGUGGCGAGUGGCGAACGGGUGAGUAAUACAUCGGAACGUGUCCUGUAGUGGGGGAUAGCCCGGCGAAAGCCGGAUUAAUACCGCAUACGACCUGAGGGAGAAAGCGGGGGAUCUUCGGACCUCGCGCUAUAGGGGCGGCCGAUGGCAGAUUAGCUAGUUGGUGGGGUAAAGGCCUACCAAGGCGACGAUCUGUAGCUGGUCUGAGAGGACGACCAGCCACACUGGGACUGAGACACGGCCCAGACUCCGACGGGAGGCAGCAGUGGGGAAUGUUGGACAAUGGGGGCAACCCUGAUCCAGCAAUGCCGCGUGUGUGAAGAAGGCCUUCGGGUUGUAAAGCACUUUUGUCCGGAAAGAAAACUUCGUCCCUAAUAUGGAUGGAGGAUGACGGUACCGGAAGAAUAAGCACCGGCUAACUACGUGCCAGCCGCCGCAGUAA